rnacentral:misc_RNA from 1 species
AGGGAUCAUUACCGAGUUCAUGCCCUUACGGGUAGACCUCCCACCCUAUGUUAUAUUACCUUUGUUGCUUUGGCGGGCCGCCCGGCUUCGGCCAGGCUACCGGCUCCAGCUGGUAAGCGCUCGCCAGAGGACCCUCAACUCUGAAUAUCAGUGUCGUCUGAGUACUAUGAAAUAGUUAAAACUUUCAACAACGGAUCUCUUGGUUCUGGCAUCGAUGAAGAACGCAGCGAAAUGCGAUAAGUAAUGUGAAUUGCAGAAUUCAGUGAAUCAUCGAAUCUUUGAACGCACAUUGCGCCCCUUGGUAUUCCGAGGGGCAUGCCUGUUCGAGCGUCAUUACAACCCUCAAGCACUGCUUGGUAUUGGGCUCCGCUGGCUCCAGCGGGCCUUAAAAUCAGUGGCGGCGCCGUUUGGGCUCUGAGCGUAGUAAAUAUCCUCGCUAUAGAGACCAGGCGGUUCUUGUCAUCAACCCCCAACUUUCUAAGUUUGACCUCGGAUCAGGUAGGGAUACCCGCUGAACUUAA